rnacentral:lncRNA from 1 species
AUGGCCGAGCCCGGGCCGGAGCCCGAGCCGGGGCGCGCCUGGCGGGUGUUCGCCCUGUGCGGGGCCGCAGUAUUCCUGGCAGCGGUUGCUGCCGGAGCAGCCCUUCUGGCCUGGAAUCUGGCCUCCUCGGCCUCCCGGAGGCCCCGCUGCCCAGAGCCGGCCGCCAACACCACGGCGCCGCCUGGAGACCCCGGACCCGAAGUCGAGGAACUUCGGCGCCGACUGGCAGAGGCUGCCCGGCUCGAGGAGGCCCUGACGAAGCGGCUGAAGCAGGCCGAGCGUGUCCGCCGGGAGCUGGAGGAGGCCCUCAGGGCCUGUGAGGGCCGCCAGAGCCGGCUUCAGACCCAACUGAUGACAGUGAAGACUGAGAUGGAAGAAGCCAAAGCACAGGGGACCCAGAUGGGGGCUGAGAACGGGGCGCUCACAGAAGCCCUGGCGCGCUGGGAGGCGGCGGCCGCUAAAUCUGCGCAGCAACUGGACGAGGCGCAGCGGCGCGCACGUACGGCCGAGGCGGAGGGCGAAGCCUGCGCAGGCCGGGAGGCGGCGCUGCGCGAGCACAUGUGAGUGAGGGGAGGGAGGGAAGGGUCCAGGGCUCGGGGCGGGGCCGGGCUGCUCAUGUGGGCGGGGCCUCGGGAGAGGAUCCCGGUGAAGGUCUCAGUGUAAGAACCUGGCGGCGGGCUCUAUGGGGCGGGAAUGCCUACACUGGGGUUGGCACUCUUGAGGCUUGGGUCCCUGGGGUCGGGUGUAUAUGGGGGCUCCGAGGGGAGCGGGGAGCGAAGGUGAACGUUGCAAUGAAAAGUAUCAAGGGAGGGAUCGGGGGCCUGGAGGCGGAGCUUCCAUGGAAAAGACUGGGAGUCCCGGAGGAGCGGUCCUGGAGACGACCAGGGGAGAAAGGAUGGGGGAUCCUGAAGCCUGGAAUCUUUGGGGAGUGGGAUACCAGGAAGAGUAGAUGAAUGCCGGAGGGUCUCUGGGGAUGGGGGUCCUGGUGCCGACGGCCCUUCUCCCCGCCUCCCGGCAGUAAAGCCCUGGAAGCCCAGACGAGCCCCCAGCGCAGAGUUUCACACCCCCGGACCCGCGCCGGGUCCCGACCCCGGCCCAGCCCCCGCUCGCGCUCUCGCCCAGGAACUUCCGGGGGCUGCAGGAGACCUACGCGGCGCGCACGAGGGUGAGUCGGCCCCCAGCUGGAUGGGGGCUCGAGACCAGGAGGACAGACCCUGGGAGCCCUGCAGGGACACUCAGAGAGGUGCCCAACUGGAUGAGAUGCUCAGUCGACACCCAUCCACGCUCAGCUUUUGACCCAGCAGCAACCCUGAAACUAUCUACAGACGGGAAUACUGAGGUCCGUUGGGUCACAAGGUGAGAUAGUGCAGAGCCUGGACUUAAGUCCCCUCUAAGGACAAGGCCAGUGUUGCCCUCAUCCCUCGGACGUGAGGACUUAGGGUCCAGCCCUGAUCUGGAAGUGACCUGAAGGGGUCGCUUCUCCUCUCUGGUCCCCAGUUCACCUUGUCUGUAAAAUGAGUGAUUGGAAUGGUGAGAGCCAGCACAUCCUUGACACCAAAACCUAACAAAAAUGGCACAGUAGGAAAACUCCAGACCUCUCUCGCUAUGAGGGUGCAAAGCUCCCAAAUGAGAUUUUAGAAGAGAACCAAGUAAUACAUUUGAAAAAUACACUAUAACAAAGGAACGUAGGCCUGAGAUGCAAAGAUGGUUCAGUGUCGGGAAGUCUGUUAAUAAAAUUUGCCAUGCUAACGAAUCAAAUGAAAAGCAUUCUGAAAAGGUCAUCAAAAUAGCAACAAUUUCAUGUGAGAUUAUACAGUAUUUGUCUUUCUCUGACUUACUUCAGUUAACUCCCUCUAGAUCCAUCCAUGUUGUUGCAAAUGGCAAGAUUUCUUUUUUAUGAGACUAUUAUAAGUAAUAUUCCAUUGUGUGUAUACAUACAUUGUGUGUGUGUGUAUAUAUAUAUAUAUAUAUAACAUCUUCUUUAUCUAUUCAUCUGUCAGUGGACACUUAGAUUCUGAUCUCCAGACUGUAAUCAGAUUUUGCCAACUAUUUUGAUAAUGUCCUCUGUAAUAAAAGAUUAUCCUGGUUUACACAUCGUAUUAAUCUGGAACAUUUCUCAAUCUGUCUGCC